rnacentral:rRNA from 1 species
UACGUAGGGGGCUAGCGUUGUCCGGAAUCAUUGGGCGUAAAGAGCGUGUAGGCGGCCCGGUAAGUCCGCUGUGAAAGUCGGGGGCUCAACCCUCGAAUGCCGGUGGAUACUGUCGGGCUAGAGUGCGGAAGAGGCGAGUGGAAUUCCUGGUGUAGCGGUGAAAUGCGUAGAUAUCUGGAGGAACACCGGUGGCGAAGGCGGCAUCCUGGACCGGCAUUGACGCUGAGGCGCGAAAGCUAGGGGAGCAAACGGG